CUGAUCCCUCCCUGGGCUCAGGCAGCCGAGUGCGGUGAUUAAGCUCGAUCCCAGGAGCGUCUCGACGCCCCUUGGGGAGUGCGAAGAGUGCAGCGUCCUUGGAAGCCAGCUUUGAAAAGGGCACCUGACUUCUCAGGACCUCAGGAGGCGCCUCAGAGAAACCCCACCGCACGGUCCGCGCGUGUCUCAGCAUCCCAGGUGACAUCAUUGUAUAGUCAAGGUUGAGCACGGCUGAGCUGAUUUUGAGUACCUGGCCCAUAGCUUCUUGUCUGGCUGUGAAGUCCUGGACUGGCCUCUACACUUCUUCAAGCUUUGGGUGCUUCCACUGUAGAAUAAGGACACAGAGGAAGGAGGGAUUCAUCUGAAGAAGAAGGAGUCUGUCAGUCAGCGUGGUGGGAGAGGAGGUGACUCUUCUACCACAGGAAACAACGUGAGUAGAGCAUGCAGGCUCUGGUGAAUACUUUAGAAUGGAAGUGUUGGGUCAUUCAAAGUGAAGAAAUGAAUGAAUGAAUAAGUGAAAACUCCCUUUUCUUGACCGUGACUUACAAAUUCAACUCUCACUUCCUAUUAUAUUGAUGCACUGGAACUUCAAUUAGAAAAAGCUUGAGGAGCCCUGACAUAACACAUGGCCAUCAAAGAAUCCACUGUCAUAUACUCAGAAUUGGGAAGGACAAUGAAAGUAACUGGAUCCCCUCUCAACCUCAGUAAUCAUUAAGGAAAUGCAAAUCAAACUAUGGUGAAAUAUCACCCUAUAUGCAUAACAAUGACUAUUAUCAAAGAAACAGAAAAUAAAGUGUUGAUGUGGUUGUGGAAAAAUUGGAACUCUUGUGCA